UUCUUAAACUAUGGGUCACGGGUUGCCGCUAGUGGAUCGCGAGUCACUGUUGAAUUUAAUAUUAAUGGAUCACGUAUGGUCUGUGAAGUGAGCCGCCGAGGGUUGAUUACGCAAUUGACAUAGCUCAAAAAAAAUCCUCCUGGAUCCACCCCCAACCGCUGCUCUGACAAUCGGCGGCUGUUCUCCAAGGGAGCUGCCACCCCCUGCUCUAAGGAUCGGCGGCGAUUCUUUAACGGGAAACACCGUGACGAUCGUCGAAUCUCCCAGGGAGACCGUACGCUGACGAUCGUCCAGGGUCCUAUGCCUGUGACCUGGCAAUGGAAAAAACAGGAUCAAAAGACAGAGCAAUACAUCUGUUUGCUUCAUGAUAUGACAUUCCAAAUUUUUUUAGAAGUACUGGUGAAAGGUGACAGUUGAACCUCAGCCAAAAUCAACUACAGUAUGCAUCCAAGAAGAGUGUGGAAGCAGCAAAGCCUAAGAGGAAGGUUGCAGUAUCGAUGAUUUAGCUGAAAAAGGAACGUAUUGCUUAGCAUGAAGCACCGAGAAACUGCCCAGAGAGGACACCUAUCCCCACCCCUUCCAGUUUGUGUGAUAUAAGAAGCCCGGCUGCCCAGAAAGAGGAGUCUUUUGUAUUCAGAGCGACCUGUUGGAUGGAGCUUCUUUUCUGUGGCAAAGAGUCAAAUACUUUUCUUGUUUUGCCCAAGAGGCUGU